UGGUGUUCACAUAGGUGUCCUUCUUAUAACUCCUCUACACAUCCCAAACCCCUCUCAGGUUCCUCCUCUUAAAUACGUUCUCGCAGAGGUGCAGCCACCGUCACUAAUUGGCUCGGCCCUGGCCACAGGCAGGUCUGACGUGGAGCUGGGGGAGCUUCGAGAAGCUUCU